AAGAGCAUAAUAUUUACCUCAAACAGAACAUUGCAACCUGGUGCAGCAGCAGAAAAAUCCGAAAAGGGCCCAGAGAAAUAUGGAAGUGUGAAUCACCAUCUCCUCUGAUCACCAGGACAUGCUCUGCUCUUGACUGUGCACUGGAGACUGGAGUAGCUUGGCGAUGCAAGCCUGUCCCAGUCUCCCAUAGUGUUCAGCGACGGCAUGGCAAAUUGGCAAUGCAUGAUCCUUGUCAGUUCGAAAUUCCAAUUAGAAGGAACGAUGCAAGAGAGGCAGCGGCCUCAAAU
rnacentral:lncRNA from 1 species